ACUGUCUCCAGCCUGCUGAAGCUCAGAGGGCUCUGAUUCAGAAAGAUCAUCGGAUCCGUCUGAGCUUGGCUGGUCGGAAGUC
ncrna:Eptesicus fuscus (big brown bat) microRNA efu-mir-127 precursor